rnacentral:rRNA from 1 species
UGUGGGGACACGUGUGGAGAGCACAAGCCGGAAAUGGAAAAGCCGGUGCAAGCGAGGUAGGAGAUGAACAGGCAAAUCCGUUCAUCAAUCCGAAGACGUGAUGCGGACCGAAUUAAGAGUAGGGAAGUGUGUGAGCCAUGCGUCAAGAAAAGCCGCUAUUGUUUUACUUAAGCCCGUACCGUAAACCGACACAGGUGGAUGAGGAGAGAAUCCUAAGGCCGACGGGAGAAGCAUUGUUAAGGAACUCGGCAAAAUGACUCCGUAACUUCGGGAGAAGGAGUGCCAGCGAGAGCUGGCCGCAGAGAAUUGGCCCAAGCAACUGUUUAGCAAAAACACAGGUCUAUGCAAAACCGUAAGGUGAAGUAUAUGGGCUGACGCCUGCCCGGUGCUGGAAGGUUAAGAGGAGAGGUUAGCGGCAACGCGAAGCUUUGAAUUUAAGCCCCAGUAAACGGCGGCCGUAACUAUAACGGUCCUAAGGUAGCGAAAUUCCUUGUCGGGUAAGUUCCGACCCGCACGAAAGGCGUAAUGAUUUGGGCACUGUCUCAACAAUGCACCCGGUGAAAUUGAAAUACCAGUGAAGAUGCUGGUUACCUGCGCCAGGACGGAAAGACCCCAUGGAGCUUUACUCCAGCUUGAUACUGGGAUUCGGUAUUGCAUGUACAGGAUAGGUGGGAGGCUAGGAAGUGAUAACGCCAGUUGUCACGGAGCCGCUGUUGGGAUACCACCCUUGCAGUAUUGGAUUUCUAACCAGCGACCAUGAACUGGUCGGGGGACAAUGUCAGGUGGGGAGUUUGACUGGGGCGGUCGCCUCCGAAAGGGUAUCGGAGGCGCUCAAAGGUUCCCUCAGAAUGGACGGAAACCAUUCGAAGAGUGCAAAGGCAGAAGGGAGCUUGACUGCGACACCGACGGGUGGAGCAGGUACGAAAGUAGGACUUAGUGAUCCGGUGGUAUAAAGUGGGAUUGCCAUCGCUCAACGGAUAAAAGCUACCCUGGGAUAACAGGCUUAUCACUCCCAAGAGUUCACAUCGACGGAGUGGUUUGGCACCUCGAUGUCGGCUCAUCGCAUCCUGGGGCUGAAGUAGGUCCCAAGGGUUGGGCUGUUCGCCCAUUAAAGCGGUACGCGAGCUGGGUUCAGAACGUCGUGAGACAGUUCGGUCCCUAUCCGGCGUGGGCGUAGGAUAUUUGAGAGGAGCUGUCCUUAGUACGAGAGGACCGGGAUGGACUGGCCGCUGGUGUAUCUGUUGCAUACCAAAUGCAUGGCAGAGUAGCCAAGCCGGGACGGGAUAAACGCUGAAGGCAUCUAAGCGUGAAGCCCCCCUCAAGAUGAGAUAUCCCUACGUAAGUAGUAAGACCCCUUGAAGACGACGAGGUAGAUAGGUCAGAGGUGGAAGUACAGUAAUGUAUGGAGCUGACUGAUACUAAUCGGUCGAGGGCAUGACU